UUCAUAUUGAGAGUUUGAUCAUGGCUCAGGACGAACGUUGGCGGCGCGUCUAAGGCAUGCAAGUCGAACGGGAUUCAUGUUGUAGCAAUACGACGUGCGUCUAGUGGCAAACGGGUGCGUAACACAUUGGUAACCUGCCUCGAAGUCGGGCAUAACUCCGCGAAAGCGGAGCUAAUACCACGAUGGACAUGGGGGGACGCAAGUCAUUCCUAUGUAAAGAUUUAUCGCUUCGAGAGGGGCCUAUGGUCUAUCAGCUUGUUGGUGAGGUAACGGCUCACCAAGGCUCUGACGGAUAGGGGGUGUGAGAGCACGACCCCCCUCACUGGNACUGAAACACUGCCCAGACACCUACGGGUGGCUGCAGUCGAGAAUCUUCCCCAAUGGCCGAAAGGCUGAGGGAGCGACGCCGCGUGCANGACGAAGGGCUUCGGUCUGUAAACUGCUUUUCUCAGGGACGAACAGAGUGACGGUACCUGAGGAAUAAGUAGGUUGCUAACUCUGUGCCAGCNGCAGCGGUAAUACAUNAGACCUGAANACGUUGUCCGGAUUUACUGGGCGUAAAGGGUCCGUAGGCGGUUUUGUGCUUCGGUGGUCAAAUCUUGGAGCUCAACUGCGCAAGACCGCCUUCGAUACGCCAGGCUUCGAGCAUGGGAAAGGUACAGCGGGAAAUUGCGGGUGUAUUGAGUUAAAAUGCUUUAAUAUCGGCAGAGAACACCAAAGUGCGAAGGCAAGCGUACUGGAACAUUGCUGACGCUCAGGGACGAAAGCGUGGGGAGCGAAAGGGAUUAGAUACCCCUGUAGUCCACGCCCUAAACGAUGAAUGCUAGAUAUCGGGAGUAUCAACCCUCUCGGUGUCGUUUAACCAAGCUAACGCGUUAAGCAUUCCGCCUGGGGAGNACGGCCGCAAGGCUAAAACUCAAAGGAAUAGACGGGGACCCGCACAAGCGGAGGAGCAUGUGGUUUAAUUCGAUGAUAAGCGAGGAACCUUACCUGGGCUUGAAAGACAGCUGCAAGCCGAUAGAAACAUCGGCCGCUCUCGAGGGUGCUGUCUAGGUGCNUCAUGGUUGCCGUCAGCUCGUGUCGUGAGAUGUACCGUUAAGUCGGAUAACGAGCGCAACCCCUGUUCCGUGUUGUAUUUCACGGAAGACUGCCUCGGAUAACGGGGAGGAAGGCGGGGACGACGUCAAAUCAGCAUGGCURUUACGUCCAGGGCGACACACGUGCUACAAUGGCCACGACAAAGGGUCGCCAAGCCGCAAGGCGGAGCUAUAUCCCAUAAACGUGGCCCCAGUUCGGAUUGKGGGCUGCAACUCGCCCUCAUGAAGUCGGAUUCGCUAGUAAAGGCGCAUCAGCCAUGGCGCCUUGAAUACGUUAUCGGGUCUUGUACUCKCCGCCCGUCACGUCAAGAGAGUCGGAAAUACCCGA
rnacentral:rRNA from 1 species